UUCAUCAGAUAAGGGUCAUAUCAUAGGGGCUAUUAACUUAAUUCAGUUCCUUUUUUAUUACAGUCCCCUUUGAAAGUAUCUUAAACGGUGAGAUGUGGUCAUUUAAACGUUGUAUGACAUAGACCGACUACCUAUAAGGAGACCGGUUGCGGAGGAGAGGUGUGAGGCAGGGUUAGCCGCUAACACGGUUGGCCCAAUGCUUGAUUGUUUUUCUAAUCUCUACGUUACAGCAUUACAGUACAGCCAUGGCAUGGCUAGCUACACCAUGUAAUCCCCCUGAGGCUGGUGUAAGGGCUAUUUGCUUUGUUCUACUUUUUUAUUUAUUCCGUCUAGUGUGUGUGUGUGUGUGUGUGUGUGUGUGUGUAUGGGGAGGGUAAGGUUUUUGUUUGAAACCCCCCCCCAAAAGUAUUUUGUAUUGUGUUCUCAGAUUUUUAAUUGUGAGAGACUUGACUGGUUUUUGUGAUGGUCCCUCCUCCUGCCUAGCAGGGCUGUUUUAAUAAGGUGUGUGUGUGUGUGAUCAUUGGACGACUGAUCGAGGUCUUUAAAUGUGCUGAUGUAAUGAGGGAUGGAACGGGAACAAAUGCGCAGCAGGACUCAAGCACGCAAAUGUGCUAGCUACCCAUCUACCUUCAUCUCUUUCUGUGUGUGGGGGUCUUGGGGGCCCUAUCUUGUCCACCCAGAUGUGUGCUAUUAUCAGGGGGAUGGAUGGGGAGACAGGCCAUCCCCUGGCCCUUUGUAGAGAUGAGCCCUAAAGGAAGGUGCCCCUGGGACAGCUGCUUGUCUGUCUGUCUGUCUGUCUGUCUGUCUGUCUGUCUGUCUGUCUGUCUGUCUCUCUCUCUCUCUCUCUCUCUCUCUCUCUCUCCGUACUGCUCCUAUCUCUCGAUAUAAUGUAUAUGUUUUUCUCUCUCUGUCUGUCUCUCUCUCUCUCUGUACUGCUCCUAUCUCUCGAUAUAAUGUAUAUGUUUCUCUCUCUCUGUCUGUCUCUCUCUCCGUACUGCUCCUAUCUCUCGAUAUAAUGUAUAUGUUUUUCUCUCUCUGUCUGUCUCUCUCUCUCUCUGUACUGCUCCUAUCUCUCGAUAUAAUGUAUAUGUUUCUCUCUCUCUCCCCGCUGGUUGAAUACCGUUAAUGAAAUAUCAUGGUGGACAUGAAUGUUCAUUCACACAAUAUCAGAACACUAGAGGUCAAAGAGAACUGUUAUUUAGGAUUCUAUAGAAUUCUACGUUCUCUAGAACGUGAUAGAAUCACCGUACUACUGUAUUGGUACUACUUGUAUACAUUGGUAUUGCUAUUUGAACAGCAUCAGUUAGUGGAGCGAUUUAGGAGCUACUAGUGAAUUGUGUUGUCACUUCUGUUCUGUAUAGCCUUGGUACAGGUGAGUGUGAAUAUGGACACCUUGACAAACCAAAGCAUGUAGUGACGGUUACUACACAGAAGAAUGUAGACCCAGACGAUAGUUAAGUGUGGGUAUGUAAACUGCCAAGUAUCAGGUGUGUGUGGUCCUAGCACUUUCAUGGUGGGGGGGGGGUCUUCGACACACCACAGCCCGAUGUUGUAAGAAUGUUUGUGAACGUUGCAAGAAAACGUAUCAACGUUGUCAGGAUGUUUUUGAGGCGUCCUUUAGAGAUUUUUCUCCUUCCUGACAUGCUCCCCUACGUUUUAAAAACACACCAACAGUCCCAACGUUGUGGUGACGUUGUUUGAACGUGGUGAAGUUUUAAAUCCAGUGCUGUUUGAAAUAUGCACUGUCAAGAGUAUCUCUCACGAUAUACCUUAAUCUGCCUAGUUUGUGGGCAUAGAAAGUAGUAUGAAGCUUGAAUCAAUAUUUAGCCUCUUUCUGUGAAAAAUGUAAACACACUUUGAUCCUGGUGCAGAAUAUCAAUAUAAAAAGUUAAUGGCAGCAAUUCUGUACCCAAUCUCAUUUGGACUGUCUGCCGUAGAUUGAGCUGUUGUGCCCUUUUCAUCUACAGGGAUGAUCAUGUUUAAAGUCUACGUAGCAAUUAAUUAGUUCUGCCCAGGGUUUCUAUACCUAUUGAAUACGAAAUGUGUGUUCGAUGAUAUGACAUUAUCAAACAUUCAGACAUCCUUCUCCCAUUUGCUCUCCUGUUUGAAAUCUGAUAUCACGUAAGCGUCGGAGGCAACUAAGUCAUGCAUUGAUAACGUCGAGGCAAUGUGAGGUCACUGCUUAAACUACUAACUAAACGUUUUAUUUUUUGGUGCUUAAACUACUGCUAAUUGUUUUUGAUUGAAAAUAAACCAUGAUUGUAACACUUUUUCCCACUGGAAUCACUCAAUCAAUUCAAAAUCUAGUUCAUCAAAGAUAUCCCGACCUAAUUACGGUAUACAAGAGCUGCAGUAUCAACGACUCCACUCCAUGGCUGGAAGUAUUUGCACUUUUACAACUUUCCUCUUCCUCCAUAAAGUGCAAAUGAAGUUGAUUUUCUCUUAUCAUGUGACUGUUACUGCGGUGUUAUUUCAUUUGGGAUGCUUUGAAUGAUGAUCUUGAAUGGUACUGCCGUAGCAUGAAAUAAAUCUCGACAUCUCAAUCCUAA
ensembl:lncRNA